rnacentral:rRNA from 1 species
UACGUAGGUGGCGAGCGUUGUCCGGAUUUACUGGGCGUAAAGGGAGCGUAGGCGGACUUUUAAGUGAGAUGUGAAAUACUCGGGCUCAACUUGAGUGCUGCAUUUCAAACUGGAGGUUUAGAGUGCAGGAGAGGAGAAUGGAAUUCCUAGUGUAGCGGUGAAAUGCGUAGAGAUUAGGAAGAACACCAGUGGCGAAGGCGAUUCUCUGGACUGUAACUGACGCUGAGGCUCGAAAGCGUGGGGAGCAAACAGG